GACGAACGCUGGCGGCGUGCCUAAUACAUGCAAGUCGAACGCAGUGGGGACGGGUGAGUAACACGUGGGUAACCUCCCAUCAGAGGGGAUAACACUUGGAAACAGGUGCUAAACCGAUACUGAUGGAUGGUCCGGCGGUGCAUUAGCUAGUUGGGGGGGUAACGGCUCACCAAGGCCACGAUGCAUAGCCGACCGUGGAGGGUGAUCAGCCACACUGGGACUGAGACACGGCCCAGACUCCUACGGGAGGCAGCAGUGGGGAAUGUUCGGCAAUGGACGAAAGUCUGACCGAGCAAUGCCGCGUGAGUGAAGAAGGUUUUCGGAUCGUAAAACUCUGUUGUUAGGGAGGCGGUAUCUAACCAGAAAGCCACGGCUAACUACGUGCCAGCAGCCGCGGUAAUUC
rnacentral:rRNA from 1 species